GCAGUGUCUAUUUUACAAGUGGUGUGUGCUGAGCCGAGCUGCUCACCCGGCAGUUACCCGUUGUUUGAAUGUGAUGAGAUGUUGUCUGCACUCAUCCUGUGUAGCGUAACGAAGAACGGGUUUUUAUUUUUUAUGUUUGCACGUUUUUGACUUUAGCUAGCGGGAUAUUUAACGGACAGAUUAGCUUUCUAUUGUCCCUCGUUUUGACUGUAGGAGCAGCUCGUGAAGGACUGACAGGCGGCUUUUUUGUGUGUGGCAUGUGAUACGGACAACAAGAGACUGAGGCGUGUUCACGUCUCACGGAUGUUACCGGGAAAAGGAAAGGGGGAAGAAGAGGCUUUUUUUCCUUGUUCUGUUGCCUGUGGAUGUGACUUUGUCCCCGCUCGGGUUCAGCAGGACAUGACGGAAGAGCGGAUGGAUUUUAUAGGGCUCCUGCUAGCUGUUGAAUGGCAAGAUGGAAAAUGACUGUUGAGCUUAAUAGUUUGUUUUUUAUGUUGUGCGAAUGUCUGAUUUUUUUUUUUAAACGUGCAGACAGUGAACACAUUUUAUUUUUGUGAGCUAUCGUUGGUUUAACACAGCGAAGGGAGGAUCAAUUCAGGCGCGGUCAGGCAAGCCAACAAUGCGGAUUACCUCUUGACUGUUUGUCUUUGUGUCAAUACAGACUGUUUGUAUAAAGUUUGAGAUAGCACUUGCUGGGCGAAUACCCGGUUCUUUUAGUUUUAUUGUCUUUGAAAGGAGACAAUACGUUGACGCGAGGUACAAAUCCCACAUGUGCACAGGUUGUCUGUGAAACGGCAAACUGGCUGACAACAGAGCAACAGGGACAACGAUGGCGAACGACUCCAUACAACGUGUGAGCAACGAUCCAGGUGAGCUUCAAGCACUCCGCCCAAGGUUUGCAUUACAAAACGGCAGCUUCCUGACGUGCGGUUCAACACAUGUCAGGAGAGGGAGGGAAAUGGAAAUGAGGGAACAAAGUCGUUUUCUCCCCUUAGGCCAGAGGGAACGAUACACAUGAACACAGCACCUUCAUCAUUGCCCUAAUUCCUAAUAAAAUCUUGUGUCCUGA